AUGAACGCUGGCGGCGUGCCUAAUACCUGCAAGUCGCGCGAACAGACGAGGAGCUUGCUCCUCUGACGUUAGCGGCGGACGGGUGAGUAACACGUGGAUAACCUACCUAUAAGACUGGGAUAACUUCGGGAAACCGGAGCUAAUACCGGAUAAUAUAUUUAACCGCAUGGUUCAAUAGUGAAAGACGGUUUUGCUGUCACUUAUAGAUGGAUCCGCGCCGCAUUAGCUAGUUGGUAAGGUAACGGCUUACCAAGGCAACGAUGCGUAGCCGACCUGAGAGGGUGAUCGGCCACACUGGAACUGAGACACGGUCCAGACUCCUACGGGAGGCAGCAGUAGGGAAUCUUCCGCAAUGGGCGAAAGCCUGACGGAGCAACGCCGCGUGAGUGAUGAAGGUCUGCGGAUCGUAAAACUCUGUUAUUAGGGAAGAACAAAUGUGUAAGUAACUAUGCACGUCUUGACGGUACCUAAUCAGAAAGCCACGGCUAACUACGU
rnacentral:rRNA from 1 species